GAUGAACGCUGGCGGCGUGCCUAACACAUGCAAGGCGAACGAAGUCUUCGGACUUAGUGGCGGACGGGUGAGUAACACGUGGGAACGUGCCUUUAGGUUCGGAAUAACUCAGGGAAACUUGUGCUAAUACCGAAUGUGCCCUUCGGGGGAAAGAUUUAUCGCCUUUAGAGCGGCCCGCGUCUGAUUUGCUAGUUGGUGAGGUCAAGGCUCACCAAGGCGACGAUCAGUAGCUGGUCUGAGAGGAUGAUCAGACACACUGGGACUGAGACACUGGCCAUAAUCGCACGGGAGGCAGCAGUGGGAAAUAUUGGACAAUGGGCGCAAGCCUGUUCCAGCCAUGCCGCGUGCCGGAGGACGGCCUUAGGGUUGUAAAGCCCUUUCACCGACGAACAUACUGACGGUAGUCAGAGAAGAAGCCCCGGCUAACUUCCUGCCUGCAGCCGCGGAAACAC
rnacentral:rRNA from 1 species